GUAAGAUAGCUUCAUCCUCAGGCAACAGGUUUAUGUUAUCUUAUCAUGGAGUCAUUUUUAAGUUUGUGCCCAACGCCUUCAUCCUUAGAAUGGCUGCCCAGAUGGCAAGCCACCGUACUCAGGCGACUGCCGCGCUAGCAGGGUGCUCCAACUUUUGAUGCUGGCGAAGCUUUUGGAAUGAUGGCUACAUAAUUUGUUAGUCUCCGUUGGAAGCUUAAUUAAACUGAGCUUCUCUGAAGGUUCAGAUGUGUGGCAAAGGAUUUCAAUUUUCCUGUUUACACAAAGGAAACUUGAGGAAGGUUCAGAUUUCUCAUGCUCGGUGCUGUGCUCUCAAGGUUACAUAGACAAAAAUGCCUCCUAUUUACACAACGGCAACCCGACGAAGGAUGACGGGGCGGGUCGGGAGGCGGGGAAAGCCGUCCAUGGCGAUCCUGGUGGCGUUGCUAAUGGCGUUAGUGGCACUGCCGCUCCUCAUGGUGCCCGACAUGCUCUCUAUGCCAGGCUCCAACGGCGUGGAUCGCGGCGCCGCCCUGUCGCUCCCACGCCCGUGCUUCAGCAGAUCCGUGUUUGAGUCGUGCAUACCUUUAGCCGCCUCCCCUCCAAUGUCCACGACUCUGAUAUACCGUGUUUGUUAGUCUUGACUGGUGUUUGUUCUCCGUAUUGUUGUGCAGGAGGCUGGAGAACAGCAGGGAGAAAAGGGAGUCGUGGAUGGAGACUUGUCCUACAUGGCCGAGCGAGAUCGAGGCUAGCCGCUGGUAAUGUUCUUCUCCCGUGCAAGUUCCGCACUGCAUUGAAGCAUCCAACACAUGAUGUAGCUACGUUACAGGUGGGACAUCAGCCAAGUAUGUUUCGAGGUGAGACAUCCAUCAAGUUUGUUUGGAGAAAAUAAGGGCCUUAGAAGAAAAUAAAAAAAAAUUGUGCAGUCCAGCUCCUGCGUGCUGGUCACCGAGCUCCACUGUGUCCAGCUCAUCCGACCAUGUGCUCCACUGCAUCUAGGUCAGCCGAUCUUGUGGCAGAGCUACACUGACGCAAGAGCAAAUAGUUUUACAAUUUCUUUGUUGUUCCUUUGUACUGGAUAACUGUGCAUUUUUAGAGGUGUGAAGAUGUAAUGCAAUAACAGUAACUGGGCGUAGGCACAUCCGUCUCGAUAAGCAUUAUGGGAACGGACAAAGGCAAGGUAUUCCAAUGUAAGAAAUG